CCCCACCCCUGCCAUACAUCUAUAGGUUAGUCAAGCUUCCUAUAUAUCCACCAACGUGAACAUCGUGUGCUCUUACCCCACACUCACAGGAGCACGCUGAAAUACCCUAGACCCAACUAAGUUGCAGGUCUCUUAGCUGCAUUGGCAGACGCCCCCCCCACCUUCCCAGAAGAGAACAUCUCGGCUGCAUUUGCACAAACAUGAUCAUCAGACUGGGCAGACUAACCCCUGGAUACUUCCGUCUCCUCCAGAGACAGGUGGCCGGAGAGGUACAGAUGCAGCCUCAGGACCGGACGGUCAAUCAGAUUGCCAUGAUGCUGGCCAUCCUGGGCCUCAGCCUGUCCUACUACAGUGCUCGCCAGAUGACUGAGAAGGUCCAGCGUGAGCCGACCCCCUGAACAUGCGCCGCCGGGAUCCGGCUGGAGUGGCCGGAGUGAUGAAAGCCAAUGAAUGAGAGGGGAGUAGAGGAAAGGAAGAGGAGGGGGAGAAGAGGUGGGGAUGAAGAGGCGACGGCGUCCAGCACUUUUUAAAAUCACUCUCUCACACUGCUGACAGUCACGUUAAGACACUGGAUUUUGUUUAGUUUUUGUUUCUUUUUUACAUCGGGAGAACGCACCGUGUGACAAGAGUUCAGAGUUCAGGACGGCUCUUCGCAGGCUUCUCGGUUUUAAUUUUUAGGACUUUUUGUUUUGUCUCAAGUCUGUCCUCAGGAGGAAGAGUGCGAUGAAGUAAUGGCCUUGGGGUCCUCUGGUCUUGUGAACUGGUUAGGAGAACGAGAGCGACCCAUCCAAAACGCCCAUGUGCUUGUGCGGCCUGAGUUUCACUGCUUGCUGCGAUGCCUGCAUGCGAGAAUCCUGCAGUGCUGCUCCUGGGUCUAGGGGGGGGGGGGAUGAUGCAUGUCCUGCCAGUGUGUCAUGCCCAGCUAGUGGGGGUAAUUCAUUCAUUUUUAAACGGAGCAGCAAUUGGCCAAGGUUCUCGACAUUUAAAUAUGUCAAGCAACAGUUGAAAGCAGGCCCAUGAGAAAGAUGGGGUCAAACUGUGAACCCUCUAAAUGCUUAUGUGUUAUGAUUCUGUGUUUUUUGUUUGUUUUUUGAGAAGCCUUAGAGUUGUCAGAACUUGCGUUGGAGAUGUCACCUUACUAGACCGUUUUAACAAAUGGGAAUCUUUCCACAUCACAGGCAUCACGACAGUCACAUUGUAGAGCAAGGCAUUUCUAGCAACUAAAGUGGAACUUUGAAAAGGGGCCGUUUCAUCACUACUGUUUUUUUCUGUUUUGCUGUUCGGUAUACUGCAUUACUAGGUAACUCGUUUAAAAUCUGUGGCUUCUUAGGGAAUCUAUAUCCUCGGCAAUAUAUUUUUGUCUACCUUCAAAUAUUGCAUGGAGAGCCUUUUUUAACUUCUAAAACCAUAAUGAUGACUAUGAAUGUAUGUUAUUUUCAAAAGUUUUGAUUCAAAAAUAAAGCUGUGAAUUUGUUUGGA